GAGGAUGAUAGUGUUAUUUUGAUGAUUAACAAGCAAUUAUCUAGAGUAUGCUAUAAGUUAAAUUGAUACUUCAUUUAUAAGUUCAUUACUCUCAGUAUAUUUGGUUAAUUGAAAAUAGAUACAUGACCUUGUUCAUUUGAAUGAAUCUAACCUUGAGAAUGCAGCAAAGUGUGGAUUGAGUCGACCCAAAGGUUGAUUGGGUCAACCCCGGCACAUCAAGAAAUCAUUUGGCACAC
rnacentral:lncRNA from 1 species